CAGCUCUUGAGGUCUUUUGAAGACGCAGACAUCUAUUUGCGCUUUAGUGUGGUCGGUGUGGUCGUGUUCUGCAUUCUCUGCUGCCUGAUUUGCUGUGCCUGGAGUCGCUAUGGCUCUGUGAUAUCUUCCCUCUUUGACCCUCAGAAUAAGGCUGGUACUGAUGACCUGAGAACGUCUGUGAGUCAGUUGGGGCCUGUGGGGAGAGAGUGGACUUUAGGCAGAUCCUCCAGCGAAUACAUCUCAUGGCAACAACAAAGUUUUCCCCUCUCCCCUGAAACAAAGAAGCUAGACAAGGCUACCAAAAAACAACAGUAGCUGGAGUCCUGACCGGAUCCUACCCUCAUCAGCACGAAUGUAACCUGCUGGCAGCUCAGGGUGCGCCAACUUCACUGUAUUAUGCUUAUCACUGUAUUAUGCUUAGAACACUUUAUAGUUGUCAUUCUUACUUUGUACUCCAUUUAAUGUGGAUCCAGUAAUAAACCAAUUAUAAUUAUUUUACCCUC